GAUUCCCUUUGCUUAUUUUUAUUAUUAUUUUCAUUUAAGCCAGUGUCGUCCAUAUCCUUAGUCAGUUGGCAGAUUUCAAUUCGACUCAAACACUAAAAAAAAUUAUUUUUUUAUCUUUUCCUUCUUUAUCUUUUUUUUUUUCCUCAUUUCUCUUCUUUUUGCCAUCCCUCUUUCCCUCUUCCUCUCAUCUCUCAAUUUUUCUCUACACUUUUUCACUUGUGCUGCCCCUACAACCUAGUUUUCUCCAUUGUUGUGCCUUCCAUAUUCCUCCAUUUUUAUUUUUUUAUUCUAUUUGUUUGCUAUCAUUUUUACACCUUUCUUGGUUGAAUCUUUUACUACCAUUACAGCACUAUUGUAGCCCCUUUUGUUGCUGAUUUUUCUCGUGUUGCUACCCAAAAAGUCUUCAUUUUACAAUUAUUUAUUUCUUCUAUUUGCUAUCGUUUUCCAGCAUUUUUCCAUCUUCUUUGGUUGUUGUUUUGAUCACCGAAAUUGCCCCAUUUUCUAUCCAUUUAACCUCCUUAUUGUCGCACAAAAUAGCCCCCUUUGCUGCCAACUUUUGUGGUGUUGCCGUCCCUUAGAAAUACCAAAAGAAGCUGUUGUUUUUAUUUCCAUUUGUUGCACAUCCUUACUCUCAUUUUCUUCACUUUUCCAUUGUUAAAAUAGUCCUUAAUGCUGCCAUUUAAGUGUGCAUCUAAUUUCUUUUGAAUCGUCAUUUCGGAUCUAGAAACCAUGAAGCAUAAGUGUUGUUUCGGAUCGAAUCUAAACUUCUCGGAUCAGUAGUGAUGACGAACUUAAUUCACAUUUCUGUUUAGUAGCAAAAUAGUGUAAGUUUAUUUACCAAAGUUGGAUCUUAAGUGUCGCUUAUGUAGUACUAAUUGGUCGAACCCCAUAAAGGUGUUUUAGGUUGAUUCUAACAUUGUUUUGUCAUGUUGUUUGAUUAGGUUUGUUCGGUUUUGAGUCGAGGGAAAUUGCGAAUUGGCAAUUGGGCUACGAACUUGUGUAAUUUAGGUGUGGGACUUAGUUAAAUGUGAAUUGUGUAUGUGAGUACUUCUUGUUUGAUUUGGUCGAAUGAUGAUGAGUCUUUGAGAGUUGUCCGAUUGAUGCUUAUGUUUGGUGUUUGGCCGAAUUGUGUAUGUACCCUUUAAGGGGGAAACCGAAUGCACGUAUAUUUCUUUUUUAUGCAUGUCGAAUGUGAGGUGCGAAUCUUACCUUUGUGUGCAUUGUUUGUAAUUGAUAUUACGUGUUAAUAAUUAAUAAAUUAAGCUUGCUGGUUUGGACAUGGCCGAACUGCCUAAAGUCAAAUUAGGGAAAUGUUGAGCAAGGUACGUAUCAAGUAAUUUGGUCGAAUGUUAAAGGCCCUGUUUGGGAUCGCCUGAAUUUGAAAUCGUCAUAUUUGAUUGUCAGAUGAUUUUCCUUUAUUAAGGUUGAUUAUUUGCAUGAUUAUGAUGAGCACUGUAUUGUAUAUUAUGAAAAUUGUUAUUGUUCAUUAGUUGCAUGUAUAACAUGCGACUUUUUGUGACACUGUUCGAAUUGCAUAUUAAGUAUGCAUUGAUUGUAUUGUACUUUGUAUGUUUGUUACCUACCGUUGAUGCCAUUGAUUGAUUGACGGAAAGUGUGCAAGUCAUACAUGGAAACUAUUACCAAAAGCAUGUUAAACAUGUCAUUGUUCUGCACUAUAAUUGUUUCUAUCAUUCAUGAUUGUGCUUUAUUCAUGGCAUAUCAUUUGCAUUGCAUGGGAAUUAGGAUUGAUGGGUAACAGAGGAGUUCCAUGGAGUUUUGGCGGUAUUUAAAUCCGCAAUAUUGUUGUUAGUGCACUGCACUAGAGUAUUGUAGGAGGUACUGGAUAUUGGUGGCUUGACCACAUCAUUGGCAGCACUGUUUGCAUCUUAUUGCAGCUUGUCUGCAUUAUUGGCGGUUUACCGCAAUUUACUGGUAGUUUAUCUGCAUUUCUAGUGGCUCAUCCACAUUACCGAAAGCUUGUCUACAAAUUGUUAUUGGUGGUUUUUUCACAUUGAGCUACGGCUCCUAACUGUUUUGGUGAUUCAGUAGAUGAGUUCUAAGAAACUCGUGGUGUGUAGCAGAUGGAUGGGUAGGACCUUAUUGCAUUGUCAUUCUCGAGCAUGUAUAUGCAUAAUUGUUGGAAGCACCAUGAUUCUGUGAAUUCUAUGUACCAUUGUGAUUACCAAUAAUCUGUUAGUUUUUUUGUUCGAUUGUUAAACGAGUUUCUUGCAUGAUUUGUAAGUUAUGCAUACUCUAUUUGCCUUUAAGACUUGCACUGACUUUUUAAGCUCAUCCCAUUAGUUUAACAUUUUUUAAGUAAGCUGCAAAUUUGGCAAUUUGGAGGUCUCAUCUUUUUUUAUUAAAUAAAGUAUUUAAUUUUAUAUUCUUUUAUUUAUUUGGUUUAUAACAAUUAAUUUUACGAAUUGUGGCAUGGGAUUGGAUUUUGGGAUGUAUUUAGUUAUUGCAUGCAUGAAUGUUAAGAAUUGGAUAAGUUAAAUAAUUAUCUAAAUUAAUAAUUUGUCAUUAAAGUUAGUAAUUAUGGUUUUAUUAACAAAUUGUGAACACUGAUUUUUCCAUUGCAAAACUAGAUUUUUUUGGAAACUAAAUAUGUAAUAUGUUUUAAAAUUAAUGAGAAUCUUUUUAAAUGAGUUUUUAAUUAAACUUUGCAAAAAGAGAUGCCCACUACGGUUUUUCGAAAAAUAAUUGAUUGCUUUAAAAAUAAAUUUCUGAGAGUCCACUUGAUUCUUCUAGGCCAUUUCGGUGGCAGAUAUGACUUUCAAAAUCUAAUCAUAAUUCAUGGGCUGGAUUGGGGAGGUUACACUAUCUAUAUAGGCUAGCCGAAUUUUCAUUUUAAUUUAGUAAAUUUAUACUUAGCUUUUUUUCGUUUAGUUCUUUACAUGUUACUUGUAGUUCAAGUAAUCUUAGUUAAAGUAAGACUAGAGCAUUUAGUUUUUAGGUUACUUUUUUUGUUUGAAAAGGGUUGCCCCUCUUAUUAUUAAUGUUACUUGUUAUUUAGGUAAUCCUAAUUAAAGUAGUAUUAGAACUCUCGGUUUUUUUUUUUGUUUGUUAAACUUUUAGAAUUGUUAUUUGUGCAAGAUCUCAUUCUUGUGAUUUUUAGAUUUGCUUUCAAUUCAUUUUCUUUUAAGAUUUUGUGGUGAUCGUGAUUGAUUAGAUGUAAUUUUGGUGUUUGUUAAAGCCAAAUUCUUCAAAGGACUCCAUUUGAGCACCUUUUCUUUUCGUUUUUCUUGUUCUUUCCUUAUUCUUCUUUUUGUCAUUUUUAUGUUCUUGAAACAAACUAAUUUGUUUGCAAUCUUUCCUUUCCUGUUUUCUCUUAUUUGCUUUGAAACUAACUUUUUGUUUCUUUCUGGCCAGACUAGUUCGGCUGCACUAAGAUGAAUAAUUAAAGUGUAAAUUUACUAACAAUUGAAUAAUUUUGGAUUUAAUUUACCUGAAUUAACAAUCACAUCUAAAAUCCAUUACAAAAUUAAUAAACAAAUAACUUGGAAUAGUUCAAUGCGAAAAGCUUAUUCUCAACCUAUCUUUCUUGUUUAAUUAAUUUCAAGGAACUUACCUUUCAUGUUUAAUUAAUUUCAUAGCUUUUCCAGGUUAAAAAAAGGUAGAUGCCAAAAGCUUUUAGAAGUUUAGAUAUUAAUGACUUUGUUUCUUGCAGCUUGCACAAGUUUGCUUUUUGGUCGUUAAUGCUGAUGAUUGCAUUACUCUGUAUUAGUUAAUAUCUACUAUGAAGUUCUCAUAAUGGCCUUAAAAGUUGAGGUUUUUGUAGUUUUAUUUAUUGGUUAUUUUCCCUUUAACACCUUGGGCUUACCACUUCAGAAUGGUGAAGCUCGGUUUUGCUGCUAUUAAUAAAAUUUGGCAUCUUCAUACGUCAAAGAUAA